rnacentral:misc_RNA from 1 species
GCUCCGUAGGUGAACCUGCGGAGGGAUCAUUACAGAGUUCAUGCCCUACCGGGUAGAUCUCCCACCCUAUGUUAUUAUUACUUUGUUGCUUUGGCGGGCCGUUAGGCUCCGGCCCGACUACCGGCCCCGGCUGGUAAGCGCCCGCCAGAGGACCCAAAACCCUGAAUAUUAGUGUCGUCUGAGUACUAUAUAAUAGUUAAAACUUUCAACAACGGAUCCCUUGGUUCUG